UACGUAGGGUGCAAGCGUUGUCCGGAAUUAUUGGGCGUAAAGAGCUCGUAGGCGGUUUGUUGCGUCGGCUGUGAAAACCUGAGGCUCAACCUCAGGCCUGCAGUCGAUACGAGCAGACUAGAGUGUUGCAGGGGAGACUGGAAUUCCUGGUGUAGCGGUGAAAAGCGCAGAUAUCAGGAGGAACACCGGUGGCGAAGGCGGAUCUCUGGGCCGAUACUGACGCUGAGGAGCGAAAGCGUGGGGAGCGAACAGG
rnacentral:rRNA from 1 species